CUAAAACAAAACCUGAAAUAAAUUUCAAUUACCAUGAAAAACAAACCCAGAACAAGUUUUUCCCAAAUUUCCUUUCAAUCUUGAAAACCCUAGCCACCACAUUCUCCGAUUGCACCCCCACCAGGUCGUCGCCGUCCACCAUCCCAAACAGGUUUCACUUCCAACAUUCCUCUUUCACCACCAUUGCCAAUCUUAAUCGUUGUCCACCGACAGGUCGCAGACCGUCCACCACACCACCACCAUGACGAGUGUCAGCCGAGUUGCACAAGGUCGCCGAACGUCCACCCCGCACCAGCUUUUUCUUCUUCUUCAUCAAAACAUGUCUCUGACUCAACCUCUCCUCUUCAAUCAUCUCUUCUUCCUCGGCUUUUCUGGCUCCAACUAAAAUCAAUUCCAGGAGUGCCAGUGGUUCGUAACUUGGGUGUUGAAGAGACUCUUUCAAUGGUACUAAUUGGUGGCGUACUUGGGAACAAGAAUGUUGAUUUACUUAUCGGCUUACAAGACAAAAGUGUUGCGCAAUUGAAAUAUAGUCAAACUUCAAGCUGGUUACCUUUUUCCAGAGUUCUUGGUUGAUGCUCAAAAUCAAAUUCCUAAAAAUUGAGAUGCAAAAUCAAGUUCCGACAGUGCAAAUUUUUUAUCAAAAUAUGGUGCCGGCCCAGUGCAGCAGGAGAAACCAUUGGAAGAGGACGGCCAGGAUUCGAUAACAUAUGCCACGAAAAUAAACUGACAUAUUCAUCAAAGGUGAGUACUGAUACUGUAUCAAAACAGCCAGUUCAUCACUUUAUAUUCUUGCUGUUGUAAUGUAUGUUGUGUGCAAGUUUUUAUAAUGCAAUUGAGCCAUUUGUAACGUAUGCAAUUGAACAAAUUAAUGUUGAAUGACAAUGCUACUGCUGUAGUUCAUCGAAUGUAUCUUUCAUUUUAAGUUUCAUGACAAAAAAUUGAGCCAUUUGUAAUUGUCCAGCAAGUAAUUGAAGUCAUAUU